AAAAAGACCAAAGUAAGGCAGAAACGAAACAAACCAAACCGGAUCCGCACGCUGCGGAGCGGCGGGCGCCGCGCGUUGCUCGGCCCGGCGGAACACAUCCAACCGGUCGGGCCGCGCCGGGCGCACUUACUUGUCCGUCUCUUGUGACAUGUUUGCUCCAAUGAACUCGCUCCCCUUUCCCGGCGCUCGGUCUCCCCGGUGGAACUGGACUUUCAGGUCUGUGCAGGUGAAGGUGCGCGCGAACGCCCGGCGCGGCAGAACCAGAGCUACAGGUAAUUCUGCUUGCCGUGCCCCCCUGGCCCCGCUCCGCCGCCGGGGCAGCGCAGCGCCGCGCAGGUACGGCCCCAGCCCCCUCCCCCUCGCAUGUGGGGAGCGGCGCGGAGAGCGGCCGGGCCGGGCGCGCGCAGGUAACUUUCCGAGCGGCGUCGGAUUCUUUCACUAAAGGAGCGGGGCAGAGGGCCGAGCCGCGCGCUGAUUGGGCGGGGCGGGCGGCAGGUGCGCUGCCAUUGGAAGAGGCGCGCAGGUACGGCGCCGCCGAGCUCCAGGUAACGCGCCGCGCCGCGUCGGGAGGCACCGCGGGGCCGCCGCCGAGCGAAGGGAGAGAGCGAGGGGGGGGCCGGCGCCGCGCUGGCGCUCAGGUGGCGGCCCCCCGGCAGGCGGCACGGCCGAGGCCGAGGGGAGGCCUCGCGGGCGGCCGGGCGUGACGGGGCGGCGGGACGCGGGCAGGUGGCGGCCGCUCGGUGGCUGCCGACGGGCGGCCCCGCGGGGGCUGCGGCCUUCGGGGAGCAGUUGGCGGCCGGGCUCCUCGUGGGACGCGGGGUUUGGGGUUGGUUCGGAGGGGUUUGGUUGCUGUUUGGCUUUUUCCGACGGUUCCGUCUCGGCCGGGAGCGGCUGGGCUUGGCGGUGCCGCUCCCGUUGCUGCGCGGUCUGAGCGCGGGCGGUCGAGUCGCGGCUGCCGGCGGCGGCUGCCCCGGCGCCCUCACAGCGCUCCUCACAGCGCGGAGCUGCGUCACGCGGCGGAGGGGCCCUCAGCCCGCUGCACCCCCGGGCGCUGCGCCAGCGCCUCAGUGCCGUCCGGAAGGACGGGAUGGAGCUCUGGGGGCAGCAGCUGUCAUCCGAUGGUGGGGAAGGUGUAGGAAAAGGGCUCCUCAGGUCAACUCGGAAGCCGGAGAAGAAAGGAAAACGCCUGCGCUCGGUCCGCGUUCCCCCGGCGGAGCGGGUCGGCACCUCGCCGCUCCUCGCUGCUGCCACAUGUACAGCUCCUCACCUCGAGACGUCUUCCCGGGCGUCUGGCUUCGCCUCUGCCUCACAGACAGCGCUGCGUGUGGCGUAAAUAGGCCGUUGUAUUGCACGGUGACCUUUGCAGGAAAGUUAAGUUAGCUGAAGGCAUUUAUACGGUCCCGGGAGAAGGAUUCUUCUACCUUUGAUUUCGGCUGAUGAGGACAUGGCAGAAAGGUGUUCACAAAAAUAAGCAUCCGUAUAACCAAGCGUGAGGGCUGCUCCAAAAGUAAUGCCUCCUGUUUUUGAUUCUGUGAUUCUGUUUUGUUUUGUUGGCCCACAGCAUCCGAGGUGGAUGUUGUUGGUAUGGCAGUGGAGGCUGAACCUUCCCACCAACAUCAGUUACGUGAUGUUGCCGUGUGACGGAUGGCAGCAGAGGGGCAGUCUGACAAAGUGGCAUCCGACAUGGGAGUCCAUAUGAAGCAAAGGUGUGGAAUUAAAUUCCUCCAUGCGGAAAAAAUGGCACCCGCUGACAUUCAUUGAUGCUUGCUGAACAUUUAUGGAGGCAAUCAAUGGAUGUAAGCACAGGGAGGCGGUGGGUGGGUGCAACAGAUGUAAGCCACAUUCUGGAUGUCCAUGCACAGCUGUACACCACAAAGUGAAGAGAGUCUCAACCAGCUCACCUACGUGAAUCAGCUGAUGGUGAUAGCUGUGUUGAAAAAUAGUGUUUUGUAGCUGAAUUUUGCUCUAUCAUAACACAAAUUGUGUUAUCAUUCUCUGUUGUAGUUUCCAUGGAAAUAAAUAGGAAGCAUUACCUUCAGAGCAACCUCUGAAUGUAUGUGUAUGUGGCUGUAACCGCAUAGAAUUGCAAUCCUCUUUCAGUGCAGUGGAAAUCAAGGUUGGUGCGUGGAAGUCUUUGAUAUUACUGGAUCACAGUCAGGCACAAAUGAUUGUUACUAUCUCUCAGCCCUUACCUAUAUUCAUAGUAACUAACCAGAUAGAGCCAAAUCAAUAUAGCUCUGUUUUAAGUCAGCUCAAGUGUAGUCCCAAGAAGAUCACAGAAUCACAGAAUGUCAGGGAUUGGAAGGGACCUCAAAAGAUCAUGUAGUCCAGUCCCUCUGCCGGAUCCCCCGUUAUGUUUUUAGAAUUAGAAAUUUAGUUUAGCUAGGUUAAUGACACUUGGACUGAGCACAGAGUAUUACGUAGCCUUCCUUUGUUUUCAGUCGCAGGAAAGAAGAAUCAUUAUGCAAUCAGUAAAUCCCAUCGAAAGCUGCUGAUGUGGCCUGAAUUGUGGAUAGCAAAUACUGGUAUUGAACUUCUCAGUCUGUAGGCCGUUAUGAAUAACAAUGCCUGGAUAAGUCAGUCUGUAGAACACAUUUUGAGGAAGCAAUAAGACUUUGUAAAACAAAGAAGAGAAGCUGAGUAAUUUAUUCACUACAAAUACUUCAGUUGUUUUGUAUAAAAAAUUACUAUGUCAUCUUGAGACAAGUAGAGCCUCCCAGGCACACUACUGUGAGAUGUUGUGAGCUGUUCUGGAGGAAUAAUGGGAAUCCUAUCACGGUUUAAGUUAAUGAAACCUUACUGCUAACUGCAGAAAUGAUAAGAUUUCAUUCACAAAUAUUGAUAUUAUGUUGAAAGAAGCUUUUGAGACCUGAAAAGGCUACCUAAUUGAGUGCUGUAAAUAGGAUUAACCUCAAUUCAGGUAUCCUCUUUCCCUUUUUACUUUUUUCAGAUUAUGGGGAACAUUUGGAUGUGUGGCUUUCACUUUUUUUUUUCCCUCCCUUCUCUAUGAAAUGUAUAGGAGGAAGGAAAGGAAGAUGAACGUUUUUGAAAAUGCCACCUUCCCCAAGUUAGCAAUGCUGCUCAUGUAUGAUUUUGCAGGGAAGAAAACAGCAUCUGAUGCCAUCUGCAGUCCUGGACCAAGCCCAAACUGUAACUCAGACUGAAAUGGAAUUUGUUGUUCUAGUACUGGGUCAGCUACAAAACCGCCUUUAGCAGCCUGCUCUCGGGAGAGAUUGCUUCCAGUGAAGCAGCUGGGAGACUGAAUUACUGCUCGGUGGCUGCAGAAGUGUUCAAGGUCAAAGUUAAGAACAGAAGUGAGAAAUGCGGUAAUGAACUCUUGAUUUGAGUUUGUUGAAGAUGACAGCUUAUUGCUUAGGUGAACAAAUAUACCCUGAAAAUUAUUUUAAGCAGAUAGUAGGGAUUGGGCUCAUCGUUUUCUGGAUGAGCAUUUUGUUCCAGGCUGCAAACUGGAAUUCAAUUGUGAGCGUCCAGCCUAGCAGGUCAAACAGGUCCUGCCUCAUCCAGCCCGCUGCUCAUUCUUCAUGAGCUCCAGGAUUGUUAUAAACUAAUCUGUUAGUCACUGAAAAAAUCAUCUAAUGUUAUUUCAGGCCAGACCAGUCUUGCUUCUCAUUGAAUAAAGGCUGUGUAGGGCAAAAAUAAAAUGGUCAUGCAAUACAUUAUUAUAAAUCUAGGAGUUGUCUUUGGAGCUUACAGGAACAAUCUACAAUAGCAGAUCACUUUCGUGCUGUUUGCUUCUUUGCAAACCAGCUUCUCAACCUGGUAGGGUGUUUCUUUUUCUUGCUUGUUGUUGUAAGGAGUCAGUGUAGAAUUCAACUGUCUAACGCUUUACCUUGUGUUUACAUGAUGUGUUCCAUAGCAGCCAGCAUCAGCGCUGUUUGGACUUGCCAGCACUGGGCAGAGGAAGUAGGGUGCACAAACAAGGUUCAGCUCAGCUUACUAAUUGCAGUAAGUACCUAAAAUAUCUUUCAGAAAACUAUUAAAAGAAGUCUGUGCGAUAAAAGAUGUUAGAGAGGUAUUUAUGUCAAAACAGCGUUGUGAGGCAGCUCAGUGAGAGCACAGAUGUUUGGAAACAAGUGUUUGCAGUAGGCAGUGAUUACCACGUAUUUUUAUUUGUGUGUUUCUGUGUCAUUGAUGGCUGUUGAUAUAAAAUGCUCUCUUGCAGUAAGUUCAAAGCCAACCACCUACCUACUAAUUUUGUGAUGCAUUUACUGUUAAUCCUCCCCAUAGCCUUCCCUUUGUAGUUAUCUUCUAUAUGAAACUAUAUUUACUGGAAUUUGUACAGACCUUGAUCUUCAACUGACUUCAACGACGCCGUCACGUACAUCAAAAUAAAUAGAUCUUAGUGCAGCUCUCCUAUACUCCAAAUGGAUCGUUUGUGUGUUCUAAUAAUAGAUUAUGCUACACUAUUAACAUGUAAGGUAAAGAAAGUAAUCCUAAGUAACCAAGAUUGUAACAACGGGUUACUUGUAUUGUUUCACAAUGAAACAAUAUGAAAGUGCUAUCAGAAUGCUGUGACUAGUGACAAGUAUCUGCUGCCUGGAACCUGCCAGUUGCGCUUCCCAGAUAGCGCAGCUGGGAUCUCAGUAAGAACCUGGAGCUCUCCGAUGCCUCCACAUCAUGCGUGGCAACAGCAGCUGAACAGCACAGAGGACCAUGGAAUAUGAGGCUCUGGGCAGCCUGGUCUAGUGGUUGGCGACCUUGCCGUGGCAGGGGGGGUUGAAACUAGCUAAUCUUUGAGGUCCUUUUCAACCCAGGCCAUUCUGUGAUUCUGUGAUGGAGUGCUUCCCGGCCCCAGGGCAGGGCAUGGGGCUGCAUGUGCCACCUUUAUCUGAAAUGCUGAUCUGCAUGUCUUAUAGAGUCCUCAGAGCAACUGGAACCAUGUAAGAAGAAAAGGAGGGGCUUUGUUUGCUCAUUAUGAGCGUAGAGUUCAUGAUUCUGAAAGAUGUCAGCGUUACAAUGUAAACAUAUCUGCAACACUUGUCUUAGGCAGUAUGGCACGCAGAACCCUGUUUCAGCUUAGAACAGAAAUCAUUUUUAGUGGUGAAAAUGGGUCAGAGUGUGGCAGUCCUCUCUGGGCUGGGACAUGGAGACGUCUGAGGAAGCAUCCUAAGUCUGACAGUAGAUUGGAAUAUUAGCUUCUUGAUUAGUAGUACCCAUCCAUUUCAUAAAGAUUACUCAUUGCUUUGAAACCAAUUCAACAGAAUGUAAUACGCAGGGAUAACUUUUCUGCAGAUGCUUUGAUCUCUGAUAGCAUUUUCCAGUGAUUCAGCCAAGCGUUUUGGGACAAGGGGAAACUAUGGUUAGGUCACCUAAUGGCUGACCUAAUGGCAGGAGAAACUCUGCCUGAAGAAGAAUAAGAAAACAUCUCUGGAAGACAGCUUGAUGUGCUGUGGGACCUGGGACUCGGAAAUACCUUAAUUAGGCUGAAACUGAUACUGUGUCAUGGUGGGGUAGAGGAGUGGGACCUAAAUAACCUGACCUCUGAGAAGAAUAUCCAGUGCAUCGUUAGGAUGCUUUGUCUGACUUCUUGUGGUACUCAGCAGAACCUCUGCAUCAUCACAGAACAAAUCUGCGGCUUCACAGGCACAUCUUGAGUAAUCCUGACUGAGUUGUUUGGGGAGAAAGCUGAAAUGCUUGUAGUUUGUCCACGUUGUGAAGAGCUCCUGAGGAAUGUCGGAAGAAAACUGUCCUAAUGGCUGUCUGUUGUGGGGUUGGUUUUGUUUUUUGGUUGGUUGUCAGCAGUAGUACUUUGAAAACCAUCUUUCUUUUCAUAAAUAAAAGCUUCUUUUUCUGUUUUUCAGUGACCCAGUUGAACAAACAAUUGGAUGGAUGGCUGCUCCUAGCUGAAGGGCUCUCACAGGGGAGCAGGAAUGGCACUCUGCAUUGGCUGCUGGGGCUUCUGCUCCCAGCCCUCAUCGGUCCGUUCUUGAAUCAUUAUGAUUUGCAGAGCAUCAUUUGAAAGGAAUCUGAAAUAGGUUUUCACACGUUGAUCACAUCCCCGAGAGCUUCGUAUGUCUCUGCAUCAGUUGGGUGUUUUUAAAAAACACAGAAGCUCCACAGGUCUGUCACCCCACCCUGCAAUAAGAGCAGUCGAAAGCCAAUGAAGAGUGCAUCUCUUCUUGCUGUAACGGUACUGUCCUAAAAUAGGCCUUGGUGUUCCAGUGCGCAGAAGGUGAAGGAUGGCAUAUAAACAAUUGCUUGUUUACUUUUCCCACACUUGGGAACUGGAGUAAAUUCAGCUCAGAGAUUCCACAGAAACACUUCCGAAUGGGGAAAUAGGAGCUGGGAAACAAAGCUGUGGAUUUGCUUAGAAGCAACCCGUUUCUUCCUCAAAAUAAGUCGAUGCCUUAAUCAAGUAGUCAGGUGCUUAAGGAAUCACAGGGAAUGGAAGAGACAGCUUUCCAGGCUUGUUGAGAAGAGGGGGAGCUGAUUGCCCACAGGAUGCUGCUCAGUUGUGGCAGAAGACAAAGGGAAUGGGCUGGUGGCAGAAAAGAAACCCCUGCUGGAGCCAAGAGAUCUCUGCUGUGCCUUGUUCUAUGGAAGGGUCACUAGGCCGCUGUCUCUGUUGCUGCUAAAGCACCUUUACAGACAGGCAUAGGUCUUUCUGCUAUUUGCUGUUGUUCUCUUUUGAAAUGGAGCAGUUUUUCAGAAGAAAGCACUCCCACUGAUCUUGUUCAUAAAUAUAGAGGCGGUGUUGUGAGUACGUAGUGUUACUCCGUCAGGCUUCAGGGCAGUGUAGGCUCAGAGCUUGCCAACAUAAUCUUUGGCCUUCUCUGCUAUCUGGGUUUGGAGCUUCAGGAUCUCUCAGGCUAUGGCGUGGGGAAGACCCCAGUUGUAGAUCCCCUGCAGUCACUCCAUCAGCCUGCACUAUCAGGCGCAGCAUCUCAGCAAUACCAUGUUUGUACAGCGCACACGCCCUGCAUGCACCUACAAGCCUGCUUUAUCACUGCUAAGUCUCUGCUGUGAAAGUAGAUUUCUGCUGGUGGAACUGCCCUGCCAGGCAGGGAGGUGUGCUGACUGCUCUGUCCUGUCCUGUGCCGUUGUGCUGGGAGAGACAGACCGGGAAUCGGGCUCACAGAGCAUACAGGUCCCAAGUUCUUUUGUACCUCAUUUUGCUUUCACACUAUCACUGUUACCUGUGUGCAUUAUUACGCUGCCCAAUCCAGUAUUGAUCUUCAUAUUGUGUUUUAACAGAUUGGAGUUAGGAGCUUCUUCUGUCUCCUUUGCCUGUGUCCCGUGACUGUGGCAUAUGCUGCUUUUUAACCUUACCUUUGUUUCUCUGAGUCCCUUCUCAAAUAGGAUUUACAACAGCUGUGAUUUUUCCUUACAUUUUCUUUUCUUCACCUUUUUCCCAAGUGGAUGGAAAUCUUAGCUUCUUCCUAAGCAAGGUGAAAGUAUCCCGCAUGAAGAAGUUUUGUGUGGCUCCAGCCACAGAGAUGCUGAGUACUUGUUUCUCUCUAUUUGACUAGAAAACUACCUGGCGAUGGCUGUUUGUUUAUAUGGUGUGCUUGGGUGUGAGGGGCAAAGCAGGCAGAUUUACAUUUACAUUUCUGUACUGCUUUUUUCUUGAGCUCCCACACAUGAGCAAUUGCCCUGCAGGGUAGGGUGGGGGUGAGAUAUGUGUGUUGCUCUUUAUUUCGCUAUAAACUUCGCUCUGAUUACUAGGACUUCUCCAGGGAAGACGAGCCCUGCCUUACCAUUGCUGGGGGUAUAAAUCACUCCUAAUUAAUACCACAGUUAAGCUGCCUGGAGAGGAAGGCAAAACUCAUACGCUUUGGCUGUGUCAUUCCAGUAAACCUGUAUGAGAGGGAGGCCAGACUGACAGCCUGCAGGCUCUGUGCCCUGGGGCAGAGACACAGGUUGGUAUCAGGAUGAAGUUGCUCAAGCUUUGGUGAAGUUGCUCAAGUUUUGACCCAGAUCCCAGCUGUCCAGGACAAUUCCUGACCUGUGGAGCUCUUGAAGGAGGAGCACAAGGCAGACAUGAGGAGGUAGGUGCAGCACCUCUCCAUUUUGUAUGUGAGGUUUUUGAGCAACACACUUGCCAAAGGUUUUGUGGGGAAUCUGCAGAGCCAGGAAUUUAUUAACCCCAUGCCCAUCUCUCAGGCUGGUGCCAGAAGCAGACAGGUAGUUUGCUAAAUGCUUCAGCCCAACUCCUGGAAAGUAUGCCUGCAUUCCCACUGAAACCAGCAAGUUCCCCAGUUUAGAAUGCAUUUAUUUUUAAACUGUACAGGCAGAGCCUACAUGUUUUGACAAAGUAGCGCCAGAGCAUUGAGUGCCUUGGAGAUUCUUAGCCCUUACUGACUGCUCGCUGAAAGCACUGCCUCAGCCUCCUGUGGACUCCCAGACAGUGCCUGAGAGAGUGCGUGGUGCCUUUCUCAGCCUGGCCUUGCCCUUUUUAGCUUAAAUCAAUAGCAAAGAUGAAGAUAGAGUGCAAAGGGAAAGAAUUCAGAAUGAACAGUGCUCACUAAAUAGACAACCCACAUGUGAAAUGUAGGAUUUUAAAUGCAAAUGCCUUCAUCUUGUCUUAUCAGAGCUAAUUGGUUUAGCCCCUGUGCUACACAGGUUGAGUUUAAAUGCUGUACGGAUAACUCUGAGCUGACACCAGUAUUUACAUGCGACAACUGAUGAUGCAGUGUUGUAGUUGGCUUCCAGGAAAGAUCUUACCCCGGGCAGAACAGAGUCAAUCUCCACCAAGGUUGUACUUUCUCAUCAUUAUUUCUCUCCCGUGUGAAGUGUAGGCAGUGGGCACCGAGCUUGGCACCACAGCACAGUGGAGCAGGAAGUAAUGGGGAUUUCCCUGAUAGCCCCAAGGUCACAGUAGUGAGCAUGCAGCAACUUGGGAAAAAGCAGCACAUAGGAGAAUGUCAGAAGGUCCUGUCACCCUGGCUGUCCUGCAGCCUUGUUUGUAAGGUAAGGGAUGAGAACAUCUUGGUAACAUGCUUCAGCCCCCCUUCUUACAGUGAAGUUGAGGGGUUUUUCUGGGAGGUCUAACAGGUUGAAAGCAUUCCAGUUGCCACUGGUUGACUUAGCUCAGUGGAAGAAUAUGUGCCUGCCCAAAGGAGCUUUCUCCUUACCCUAAAUCAUGCAUUUCUUCCCUCUUCUGUCACAUCAGCAGACUUGCUCUUUCAACCUCCAGAGAACUGUUUUGUUUUUGCUUUCAAUAGGGUUAGUUUUCAGGCAAGUAAGUAGGCUGGUUUGACCCUGUAAAACUCCAUUCCCAAACUGUGGGAGUGAUGGAGACAACAAAAGCAAAGGGACAGGAGUUGUAGGGCAGACCCACCUCUUUUGGCAGUAACUCGGUUUUAGCUUUGAGUUUUAGUAAUUGUGAAAGUGCACGAAAAGCAGUCUUUUCUGUUUGGGAUGAAUGAAAGCCUUCCAGGUGUAAGCAUGGGGAAUUAAUUACAGCAUUCGCCCAGCCCAGUUCUUCUCCUGGAGUCUGACACGUGGCUGCCUCAUGUGAUGUCUCUUGGCACCGCAGAGACAUAGCAUCACCCACAGCUCUGGCAGCAGCUGCUGCUUUGAGCCUAUCAGCCUCCUCCACUGGCUGGAGUAGCAGUGAGUUUCUGCAGGUGCACGGCAUGCAUCGCCAUAGUCCCAGUGAAGCCACCGAGUGCGUGGAAGUCUAUGAAUGAGAGCAGCUAUCCAAUCAAGAAGGUAUUUUCUACACUGCAGGUUAAAUGGCCAUCCUUCCCUCAAGAGAUGUGUGCAUAAAAGACGUGGCUGGUUUUUACAGACAGUACUAUGAAGACGUCGGUCGUUUUGAGUUGCCCUUUGCACUGCAUCACUGUUCUGUGCUUUGGAAGUGGUUGCAGGGCUGGCUCAAGUUCUGUCGGCUGUGCCUGGGGUUAAAGCAGAUGCUUUGGCCCUCUGAACCCAGCCUGGCAAGAUGAGGGCAGGGAGGCAGGAUUUCCCCUCCGUUGUUUCUUUGAGUUCCAGAGCUUCCAACGAGGCUGGGAGAGGGGAAGGGUGACCAAGGAUAUCUGAGCAUCUUCUCUGUAAGCAAGGCCAAUUAUACACACGGCAAUUACCUCAGUGUAAACAGCCCAUCGUACCGAGAUGGGGAGAGCCUUUUGAGCCUGGGGAGGGUGCUUUGAAGUGCUUCUGCUCAGAGAGUGUCCAUUAAUGCGGGGAAUUGCACCGGCCGCAGCCCUCGGCUGCGUUAAGAGGAGUUGGGCGGCGGUGCCUAUUGAGCUGGGCGGGAUGGCUGUUAGGUGCCCUCGGUAUGACAAAGCGGUCGUUAACAUUCCAGCAGCGAUGGGGCAGUAGCCAGUAGCAACGCUUGCCUGCCUCGGCCAGCCCUGCUUGCUGCCGCUAGCGGUGCCAUAAGGGCACUUCUCUCCUGUACGUGCUAGAAUUCCACUUUCCUACCGGUAUCUGCACGAUUUCUCGCCAGUACUGUGGAAGAAUCCUAGCAAGUCACACCGAAGUUGAUAUAAAUUAUCUAUCUCUCAGCAGGGAGGAGGAUUAUGUCAAUUUCGGCUAAUAGCUGCCAAAUAAUAGACACACAGAUGCUCUUAAAUUGGUUUAAUUCCCGUUGGCUGGCCCUGACAAUUGGGAGCAAAGAUAAAUAUAUACAAAGCAUUCAAAGCUCGGGGUGUUAUGAUGCUAAUUGAAAAGUCACCAAAGGAAGCCCUCACGGUCUGUGGGAACCUCGGUGCACGGGAUUAGCGGCUAAUUAGCGGCUAGGAGCUGUCUCAUCCCGAGCACAGGCACCUCUGCCCAUGCAGUCAGUCCUUGCCCUUGAUACCAGCAAUAAAGAAACUGCUGUGGGCAGCAGGCAGUGUGAUGGUAGGAAGAUAACGUAGUAUUAGCAGUGUAACGAGUUCUCCCAUCAUGCACAGAAGCAAUGUCAGAAAUGCUUGCUGUGUCUUGGCCACAGCAAACAUAAAGGCAUUUGAGGCCUGAGCUCUUCCCCCCCCCCCCCCCCCUUUUUAACAAAUGCACAAGUCUUGUUAUGUGACUUUUUACCUCUUUCAUGUCAUGUUUGCAGCAGAGGACAGAACACAUUCUGGAGACCCCGAGCCUCAAACCCUGCUGUGGACUCUGCAGUGAGUGCACACAGGCAGUCGCAGCCCCUUCCUUGCACGGUGCUUUAGAAUCGUGACAUUUAAAAAACAUACAAUCCGUCUGUCAGCAUCCCAGUAUUUCCCUCUCAAGCUGUUCCCUGGUGGACAACUGAAGAAUCCGAGUUUUUCAAAUAACACACUUGUGUUAUGUGAACCCAAGGGCUCGGCCUGUGGAAAAAGAGAUUUGCAAAAUGGUACGAAUCAGUUGCAUCACUGGCACCGCUGAACUAAUCAGGGCUUUGUUUAAUGAGGGGUGCAUCUAUUUUGCUCAAUUACUUCCCGCUGGUGAGAAUCCUUCAUUUAUACUUUCAUUUGGGAAUGCUGGUUUUGGAACUCUCCGGAGUUACAUGUUUUCUUGUCCUCACAUUUGCUUUUUCAGAUCUGAAACAGCUGUAAACACAGCUUUAAACUGUUACACACCCUCACAAUUAAAUUAACCAGUAUUACACUUCACAAAGACACCAAGGAGCAAUAGCAGGGAGGUUCACUUGUGAGCUUUGGAGGAGCUAAAAAGCUUCUUUCCUGUGUUAACCAGCUCUGAGUAAUGCGGUUUUGCACAAGCUGGAGUCAGAAGUGGGUAAUGUGAGGAACCCAUGCUGGUAGGCAGUGACCUGCAGUGCGUGGGCUGGUGGCCUAAGUCAUCUCUUCUGGCAACCAGCAGAUGGGUGCUUGUAGCCUGGUUUCCUUAACCCUCCUGUUGACCAGCCCUCCAGACAGCUAACUCUCUUCUCCAGCUGCUGAGAAAUAGCUAAAUCAUAGAAUCAUUUAGGUUGGAAGAGACCACUGAGAUCAUCCAGUCCAACUGCCAACCCAUCCCCACCAUGCCCACUGACCAUGUCCUUCAGUGCCACAUCUCCACAGUUCUUCAACACUUUCAGGGACGGUGACUCCACCACCUCCCUGGGCAGCCUCUGCCAAUGCCUCACAACUCCUGAGAUGAAAUUUGUCUUUAGAUCCAAUUCCCCACCCCCCAGUACAACUUAAGGCCAUUACCUCUUGUUCUGUCACUAUUACAUGGGAGAAGAGGCCGACCCUCACAGUCAUCCACAGUGAGAGCUAACAAACAAAGAGGACCAUCCUUCAUAUAGCAGCUAUGUUGUAGAAGUGAUGAUCUGGGAAGAGGGUAGGGAAAAGUGAACAGACUUUUAGGCAUAGAAGUUCUUCUACAGAUCUGAAAGAAACCUCAGACUUCAAGCUAUUUUGCCCCCUCACAAAAUCCUGUAGAAAAAAGAGAUAACAGCCCCAUACAACCACCUCUGCUGUAGAUAAGCUGCCCAGCUGGCUGGGCAGCCCAAAGAACCCAGCUGCUCCAGGAGUCUUAAUAGCUUUUGUGGAGCAACAGAUUCCUGAAAUGAUGCUCACCGUUCAGUAUGUUUGUCAGAACUGGAAUGAGAUACACAGGAAUAAUAUUUUUCGGCCAAGGUAUUUCUAACUGGUUCUCGGUGGGUAUUAGUAAUAAUACAGCUGUCAGCUUUCGCAGUGUUUUUUAAGCAGAAGUGCUUUGUAUCUUUCAAGGUGUCUUCCCUUUUAUCUUAAGCAAAAUACCUGUGGGAACCAUUAGUAAUGGUUUCUGGUACUGCUGGACAAUAGUAGUGUGAAGAUACAGAGUGCAGCAACCCAUGCAGCAUAGGAACCCAGUGACAGGCUGGAAGGCACUCUGUGCCAGAGCGUGGCAAGGAGCGAGCAGCAGAUCAGACAGCUGCUUAAUCCCUCUGUGAGUUGAAAAGAGGGAGGAGACGCAAAUCAAGAAGAAGGAGAGGACCAUAGAGAAGAAACUGCAGAAGAAUUCCUGAUUUCUAUAGGAAUCUCUGCAUGACACACUGGGUCUGUGGGAGCCCAGAGCUCAGCUCAGCCCCUCAAAACCUGGUACCACAGCUGUAACUCUCAGGAUCUCUUCUGAGCAAAUCUCGUGCCAUUUAGGGAAGGUGCUGGGCUGAGCUGAAGCUGUGCAAGUACAGCUGUUCUCAUAUCAGCUAAGAAAAAGUAAAAAUCAGUUUAAAGCAUUAGACUGUUCCAAAAAAGCAGUGCUAAACCUCAUUCUAGAGCUACUGUUAAGUUGAAAUAUAUAUAUUUAAGUGCUCCUUCAAAUAAAGCCUAAAAACCCAUUUGCUUUUCCAGUGGUCUAAUGACUGCUUUUGCCAGGUUACUUCCAACAUAGAAUUCACCUACAGUCUAAGGCAAUGCCUGGGAGAUCCAAGCAUUCUGGUAUGACUGGGAUAAAGCUGAGGUGAGAGGCAGGUCAGAAUCGGGUGUACCAUGGAGGUAUCUGCAGCCUUUGUGGGGAAAGAUUACCAUCUUGGUGGGGAGAUCGUGUUUCUGUUAUUACCAGUAACAACUGGUUUCUACCAUUUACUCUCCCCUCUUUGUUGUCGGGUAGGCCCUGACAACUGAGGGACUCAAUGCAGCACGCAGGUGAGGCUGACGCUGGGCUCAGAAGUGCCGUCAGAUGGUGUCACGCAUGUGGGGAUGUGUGGUACCACGGCCCCGGUCGCAGAGAGCCUGCAGUCCGAGCCAGGAGCCUGCAAGAGGGCAGCACGGAAAAGCAGUGACACCUGUGCUGUUUUUAAUGGGAUUUGUAGCUGUGGGGUUUCGACAGAACCCACUUUUUCUUUCAGUGCAUUCUGACGUGGAAGAAUGUGAAAUGUAUUACCACAAGAGCAGGCUGCCUUGUGAGUGCUUCUGCGGAGCAAUGUCUUUUCUGCAGAGCUAGCCAUGGGGACUGAGCUUUAGCUGGGAGCAGCUUGGUCGGCGCCAUUUUCCCUCUGUGGCCUGUGCAGGAAGCUAACACCAGCCAACUUCGCACACUGUGGGACCGUAACAGGCCGCUGCCUGCGCCCGGGAGCGCAGACCCUCCUGCUGCACUCGGCAGAGCAAGUCUGAACUGGGUGCAUGGAGCAGGAAAUGCCAGUUCACAGCCCUCCCACGUGGCUCCAGGCUGCGUGCACAAUGACUUUUCCAGCCCCCCAGACUCUGUACACAUGAAUCCCUUCACCGUCCAGACGCCGUUUUGGGAUUGGCACAGCAUUCUGUGAUCUUGGAAGGCCGCUCAUGUGGUGUGGGAGCCAUCGCACACGCCUCUUGCAUUGGGUGCCUGCUGUGCUCCGCUGCAGGUGUUUCAUACUUGACAAGCAAGUCAUUGUGAGACUGGAGAAGCCACAUCCUUCUUCCUGGUCUCUGUAGUUCCACCUGCAGAGUUAGAGUAGUGUGUUCCAUCUUCCUAACCAAAGGAGACACAGAUGGACUUGAUCCUUGGUGUACUGGUUGAUCUCAUUUGAGGAAGAAGAAAUCCAGGUAUAAUUAGAGACCAUUUACCUUGAUCUUAAAGGACUCAGCAUCACUUUGAGCCAUUAAACAUCAUUUGUAC
rnacentral:lncRNA from 1 species